GUUCAGUGCUAUCCAAGUGACUCCCCCGGGAGAGGACAACUGGAAAUUUAUGCCUGGUGUCUUCCUGGACUCCGACCUAUGCACCUUUUUCCUUGGAUGAUUUUAACCUGUCUCCUUUUGCUGCAAUGAACCAUAACCAUGAGUAUAUCAGCUUUUCUAAUUUUUGUGAGUCCCUCAAGUGAAUUAUCAAACCUAAGGUAGUUUUGGGACCCCCAUCACAGAGAGUCAAACAGGGGCAGGGCAAGAAGAGCUGCUUUUCCUGGAAGGCUAAUGAGUCUGAACUUCGCCCUGGAGGUAAUCGUUAUAGUAACUCCAGGCUCUAACCUGGAGCUGACAUGAUAAGGUCAAAUGUACACCUCUAGAAGACUUCCGACUGCAGAGGGGAAUGGAUGGGGGAGCUGAGGGAGGAGAGCUGAAGCAGGAAGACCAUGGCCUGGAAAGAGAUGGCUGAACCAGUCCAGGUGGCGAGGAGUCCAUGUCAGCUGCCGUCAUCCACACCACAGAUCAGACAUGGCAAAGAGUGGCCAGGCCUUCUGAGUGAAGGUGAUCCAACCUGUCACCAAGCCUAAGGGCAAAUCCUGGCUGUGCUGUGAUGGCUCCAACAACCCCAAACAGCAGCGCAGAGGCUGCAGCCGCCCUCGGAGGCAACACUGGGAAACGCUCAUUAGCAGCCUUCCAUUGCUCACCCGCCCCAUCCCACCUCUGUGCAUCCCAGAUCAUCAGCGAAGUGCACAGCUGGCUUCCAUCCUCGGAGCCUUCCUCCUUCAUUUGCCUAUUCAACAGUUACAAAGGCCUGAGUUGCAAAGGGGCUUACAACCCAUUCCACCCAGAAGAAAGAGAACUGAGACUGAGCAAGACAGAGAAUAGGUGGAAGGGGAGAUGAAACCAAGCAAUCUCUAGAUCCCAAAUGGGGACCCUGAUGUAGCAAGAGCCUCUUUUAAAUCCUUUUCCAAUAGGGUAAUAUGGAAAAUAGUUGAAAGCACAAGCCAAGUGGGGCUGGAAUCCCAAAUGGGCCAUUUACUAGCUGUGUGACUGGACAAGUAAUUUCAUAUUUCUGGGCCUCGAUUUUUCUCAUCUGUAAAAUAGAAAAAAAAAAACCUAUGUCAUAACGUUGAUAAACAGAUUAGAUGAGCUAAGAUCUAAAAUGUCUUCUAUUCAGUAGGUGCUCAAUAAAUGUUAUCUAUUUUUA
rnacentral:lncRNA from 1 species